UACGGAGGGUGCGAGCGUUGUCCGGAAUCAUUGGGCGUAAAGCGCACGUAGGCGGUUCUUUAAGUCUCGCGGUGAAAGGCCGGGGCUCAACCCCGUGCUUGCCGGGGAUACUGGAGGACUGGAGACAGGCAGAGGCCAGCGGAAUUCCGGGUGUAGCGGUGGAAUGCGUAGAGAUCCGGAAGAACACCGGAGGCGAAGGCGGCUGGCUGGGCCUGAUCUGACGCUGAGGUGCGAAAGCGUGGGGAGCGAACAGG
rnacentral:rRNA from 1 species